rnacentral:lncRNA from 1 species
AGGGAAGGACAGGAAGUAGCACUGUGGCAUGAAUAAUUUAGAGAAGCAUUCUUUUUGAGGUUCCUGGGUGUCUCUGGAGGAAGGCGGUUCUGAAAGGCAGGAGUGUCUCAGUCCUACAACUGCAAGAACA